GCAUGCCUACAACAUAGCAUUACUGUAGUGGAUCCCAUUAGAACUCCGUAGUUAAGCGCGCUCAGGAUAGAGUAGUACUGGGAUGGGUGAUCGUCCGGGAAGUCCUAUUGUUUUACAUGCC
rnacentral:rRNA from 1 species